rnacentral:rRNA from 1 species
AUUGAACGCUGGCGGCAGGCCUAACACAUGCAAGUCGAACGAGUGGCGGACGGGUGAGUAAUGUCUGGGACACUGCCCGAUGGAGGGGGAUAACUACUGGAAACGGUAGCUAAUACCGCAUACCAUCGGAUGUGCCCAGAGGGGAUUGGCUAGUAGGUGGGGUACCGGCCCACCUCGGGGACUAUCCCUAGCUGGUCUGCGAGGAUGACCAGCCACACUGGAACGGGUACACGGUCCAGGCUCCGACGGGAGGCAGCAUUGGGGAAUGUUGCACAAUGGGCGCAAGCCUGAUGCAGCCAUGCCGCGUGUAUGAAGAAGGCCUUCGGGUUGUAAAGUACUUUCAGCGAGGAGGCGUUACUCGCAGAAGAAGCACCGGCUAACUCCGUGCCAGCAGCCGCGGUAAUAC